GUCUCUUUGCCGGAGUGGCCUAACGGGUUCGCCUGCUAUUACGCAAUACUGCAGCGGAUGUGCUUUGCACGCGUGUGUUCGAAUCGCACAGGAGACG